rnacentral:miRNA from 1 species
GCAGACACAUUCCAGCCAAUCAGCAGCAGACCCUCCCUCCCAGCCCUCCCACCUCCUGGACAGCAUCCAUUUUACAUUCAUUGUGAAGCUGCAUUCUUGGUGAACUGUCCAGGAGGUGGGAGGGUCUGGGAGGGAGGGUCUGCUGCUCAUUGGCUGGAAUAUGUCUG